AUUCUUCGGUGACCAAUUUCGCAACAUAAUAUGACAGAUUUUAUUGCCUGGAGUUAUACGAAAAAUGGUCUGUUUUUUGUACGGUCUGCUUACUCUGUGGAGUGGAACUAUCAGUAUGGGAGCAAACUAAAAUAUUCCAACGGGAUGGGACGGAGCACACGUAACCCUAUAUGGUGUCAGAUAUGGAAGUUAUCUUGUCCGGCUAAAGUCAAAAUAUUUUUAUGGCGGACACUACAUGGUACUCUUCCAUGUCGGACAACACUCACUAAUAGACGCAUGAAGGUCUCACCCUUGUGUCCUACAUGCUCCCAGGGUGCAGAAGAUACAAAGCACUUGCUUUUCCUAUGUAGAAAAGCGAAGGAGGUUUGGAAAAGGUUAGGGUUGGAUAUGAUUAUUGAGAGAGCUUGUGAGAUUGAUCGUGCUGGGGAGGCAAUACUGGAAUACUUAUUACUUCUUCCAGAUCAAGAUCUGCGCAUUAUGGGGUAGAAAAAUGUUCGAGAAAUAGUAGCUAUCUCUGCUUGGUAUCUAUGGUGGGAAAGAAGGAAAUUAGUGCAUAAGGAAUUCACUCAAAAUGCGACUCAGAUCUUAAUGGGGAUCAUAGCUCUUACAUAUAAUUUUGUAAAUGCAUCAUCUUCAAAUGCGUCCAUAAAAAAGGGGUUGGCAAUGUCCUCCUAG
rnacentral:rRNA from 1 species